CCUACGGGCGGCAGCAGUGGGGAAUAUUGGACAAUGGGGGGAACCCUGAUCCAGCGACGCCGCGUGAGUGAAGAAGUAUUUCGGUAUGUAAAGCUCUAUCAGCAGGGAAGAAAGAAAUGACGGUACCUGACUAAGAAGCCCCGGCUAACUACGUGCCAGCAGCCGCGGUAAUACGUAGGGGGCAAGCGUUAUCCGGAUUUACUGGGGGUAAAGGGAGCGUAGACGGCGAUGCAAGUCUGAAGUGAAAGGCGGGGGGCCAACCCCCGGACUGCUUUGGAAACUGUAUGGCUGGAGUGCAGGAGAGGUAAGUGGAAUUCCUAGUGUAGCGGUGAAAUGCGUAGAUAUUAGGAGGAACACCAGUGGCGAAGGCGGCUUACUGGACUGUAACUGACGUUGAGGCUCGAAAGCGUGGGGAGCAAACAGGAUUAGAUACCCCAGUAGUC
rnacentral:rRNA from 1 species